rnacentral:rRNA from 1 species
GAUGAACGCUGGCGGCGUGCUUAACACAUGCAAGUCGAACGAUGAAGCCCAGCUUGCUGGGUGGAUUAGUGGCGAACGGGUGAGUAACACGUGAGUAACCUGCCCUUAACUCUGGGAUAAGCCUGGGAAACUGGGUCUAAUACCGGAUAGGAGCGUCCACCGCAUGGUGGGUGUUGGAGAGAUUUGUCGGUUUUGGAUGGACUCGCGGCCUAUCAGCUUGUUUGUGAGGUAAUGGCUCACCAAGGCGACGACGGGUAGCCGGCCUGAGAGGGUGACCGGCCACACUGGGACUGAGACACGGCCCAGACUCCUACGGGAGGCAGCAGUGGGGAAUAUUGCACAAUGGGCGCAAGCCUGAUGCAGCGACGCCGCGUGAGGGAUGACGGCCUUCGGGUUGUAAACCUCUUUCAGUAGGGAAGAAGCGAAAGUGACGGUACCUGCAGAAGAAGCACCGGCUAACUACGUG